CGGCCGCCGCGGCAGUCUUGCCGGUGGAGCCCGGGCUCGUUUCUCCGCCCCCUCCCCGCCCAGGCUCAGUAAACAGGGCUUGAGCGCCGGGGCCUGCCGGGCAGGGCUGAGUGUCUGAGGACAAGGCGCUGGCUUUGCUAAUCACAUCACAAGACCUUGAGCCAGGGCCAAAGGCGCGGAGUGGCGCGGGACGUCCCGGGCGGGGGAGCUGACUCUGAGGACAGGAGGAAAGGCCGGGAGAGCCGUGCGGGCUUGAAGGCGACUUAGCGCCACCUUUCCGUCUGCUGGUCGGGCCGGCCUUCCCCAGCCCUCUGGGGCUGGGGGUGCAGCUGCCUGCCGAGGCUCCCCGCCCGGCACAGCCUGGGCCUGUUGCGUCCUCCCAGCCUCUUCCCUCCCCGGCAGUGGGGGCGCCGCGCCCAGCCUUUGCUCGAUGAGGGCUGCAGGAUCCGGCUGAGACCAACCCGCGGCGCAGGUGGGGCUGCACAGACGCUGAUGGUGGGCGCGCCACCCUCUGUUUUCCCUCACUCGCCAGCCCCGCACCCCAACAGCUUGCGCUGGAAAAUGCGCUUUGCCAGCGGGCGCCCCGCCUUCGUCCGGGUACGGAGGGGACACUCCCAUCUAGCGCCCAGUGAGGCUAAAGCCGCUGACAGCCCCACUAGGAACGAUCUGGAGUCUGGUCUAGGGCACUUCUCCCUCCGCGUUCAUACAGGUUGCCACAAAAAGCUUGGGCCUGAAGCUCGAAGGCCCCGGACCCGCUGGGGAAAGAACUAGGCCUGCCACUCAGGGAUUCGAGUCCCUGGAGUGUAUCCUGCAUUUCCCACUACUGUACUCCCCUCAUGGCCCAGGGAGCCAGAGUCCAGGGUAAGGAUCAGGAAUGCUGGGCUGGAGUUCAGGUCCUGCCCCAGAGAAAUCAUGUGGUCUUAGGCAAAUCACAUCAUCUCUUUGGUACUUGGGUUUCCUUGUUAAACGAAGAUAAUAUUCUUGCUUUAUUCAUCUCUCACCUUUGGCAAGGUGCAAAUGAUAUCUGUGAAGGUGUUUAAAAGACAAGCAAGAACUAAACCAUCUUUAUGUAUUAAACCAAAUUGACAAAAGCGUAAGGGUGGAGAAAGCCUGGCUUCUGAACUGUGGCCAGAUGGACAGAGAGCCACAGAAUCAUGAGUGCAGAGCUGUGGGGGCACCCAAGUCCUGGACCCUAGGACUCACAGCCAAGAGCAGGUGACCUCAGAGGGACCAGUUUCACUUUUAGCACCUACCCUACACUGACCCCUUGACAUACCUGGGCAACUGUGGUCUGGUUUGUUCUUUGGUGAGAUGACCCCAAACAUCUCACCAAACUGUGAAACAGCCACUUCCCUAGGCACUCCUAUUAGGUUAGUAACAAGAUUUCAGAUACAGAACCAGUGGAAACAUCUGUUUGAAACAACGUCCAAAUCUGGGGUGAGUCCCAGUCAACAGCUGUGAGAACACCCACUUUGCAGAUUAGGAUUCUGGAGAUAACAUGUGGACAUGUUACGGGACAUGCUUGUGUACAGAGUACCUGCUAGUAUAAAAUGUCUAAUGUAGCUGCUUUUAUUUCAUUUUAAAUGGAGAAAAAAAGAAGUGCUGGCCAUUUCCAAUGAGCUGGGCUUUGUUGGGCCAGUUUCAUAAAAAAAAAAAAAAAAAAAAAAAAAAAAAAAAAAAAAAAAAAAAAAAAAAAAA
rnacentral:lncRNA from 1 species